GAUGAACGCUGGCGGCGUGCCUAAUACAUGCAAGUCGAGCGAACAGAUGAGGAGCUUGCUCCUCUGACGUUAGCGGGGGACGGGUGAGUAACACGUGGAUAACCUACCUAUAAGACUGGGAUAACUUCGGGAAACCGGAGCUAAUACCGGAUAAUAUAUUGAACCGCAUGGUUCAAUAGUGAAAGACGGUUUUGCUGUCACUUAUAGAUGGAUCCGCGCCGCAUUAGCUAGUUGGUAAGGUAACGGCUUACCAAGGCAACGAUGCGUAGCCGACCUGAUAGGGGGAUCGCCCACCCUGGAGCUUAGCCACCGUCCAGACUCCUACGGUAGGCAGCAGUAUGGAAUCGUCCGCAAUGGGCGAAAGCCUGACGGAGCAACGCCGCGUGAGUGAUGAAGGUCUUCCGAUCGUAAAACUCUGUUAUUAGUGAAGAACAAAUGUGUAAGUAACUAUGCACGUCUUGACGGUACCUAAUCAGAAAGCCACGGCUAACUACGUG
rnacentral:rRNA from 1 species